rnacentral:lncRNA from 1 species
CCUCUCUUGUCUUCCCUGUCAUCCGUCUGCCAAUCUCCCUGUCCAUGGUUAGUUAAAGGCGCUUUUUAUCCUCUUUUCUUUCCCACAGAGUUUGCCAGAUCCGGCCCAGUGCCUGGGUUCCAAGGGGACACGCUGCAGUUGGCCUUCAUCGACUUGAGACAACUCCUGGAUCUGUUCAUCCAGUGGGAUUGGUCGACGUAUCUGGCCGACUACGGGCAGCCCACCUGCAAAUACCUUCGUGUCAACCCCACCACCGCCCUGGUCCUGCUGGAAAAGAUGCGGGACACCAGCAGGAAGAACAACGUUUUCGCCCAGUUCCGGAAGAACGAGCGGGACAAGCAGAAGUUGAUCGACACCGUGGCCAAGCAGCUGCGCGGCCUCAUCAACAGCCACCACUCCUGAGGGAGCCCCUGGAAUCCCCUUCCCGCCGCCCGGACUCGGGGGAAUCCCGUUCCCAGAGAAGAUUUGUAUUUUUUUAUUCGCCUUGGGAAGUCUCCGUGGAGCCUCCGCCCUCCUCCCCACCCGCCCGGCGGUGGCAAAACGCUCCUGGUGGGAAAAAAAUCCCAGGAAAAGAGGAGUGUCCUGGAUAAGCUCCUGAUUUCAGGGGUUUGAGGAAGGGAUGGGAAUUCUUGGAGCCUGGGAGAAGUUCGUGCCCGGGCUGGGUUGGUUUUGGUUUUGGGGUUUUUUUGGGGUCAAAGCCAAUUUGAAGGGAUCGUCCUGCCUUCCUUUUGUUAAUUUAUUCCCUUGGAAAACCGGGAAAUCUGGGAAGAGCCGUGGGGUUUGGGCUCUGUGGGCAGGGGGGUCACCCUGA